CAGAACGAACGCUGGCGGCAGGCCUCAAACAUGCAAGUCUAGGGGGUGUAGCAAUACAUCACCGGCGGACGGGUGCGUAACGCGUGGGAAUAUACCUAUCGAUUCGGAACAACUGAGGGAAACUUCAGCUAAUACCGAAUACGUCCUAACGGAGAAAGAUUUAUCGUCGAUAGAUUAGCCCGCGUUCGAUUAGCUAGUUGGUGGGGUAACGGCCCACCAAGGCGACGAUCGAUAGCUGUUCUGAGAGGAAGAUCAGCCACACUGGGACUGAGACACGGCCCAGACUCCUACGGGAGGCAGCAGUUGGGAAUCUUGGACAAUGGGGAAACCCUGAUCCAGCCAUGCCGCGUGAGUGAUGAAGGCCUUCGGGUUGUAAAACUCUUUCGCGCACGACGAUAAUGACGGUAGUGCGAGAAGAAGCUCCGGCUAACUUCGUG
rnacentral:rRNA from 1 species